UAGACUUUCAGAGCACUGUUGGAAGUA
rnacentral:piRNA from 1 species